rnacentral:rRNA from 1 species
CUUUUUGUAUAGAUAUAAAGUCGGGCCUGCCCACUGAAAUAUGAAGGGCCGCGGUAUUUUGACCGUGCAAAGGUAGCAUAAUCAUUAGUCUUUUAAUUGAGGGCUGGAAUGAAUGGUUUGAUGAAAUAAUAACUGUCUCUUUAUUAUUAAUUUGAAUUUUACUUUUGAGUUAAAAGGCUCAAAUGUUAUUAAGGGACGAGAAGACCCUAUAGAUCUUGAUAAUUAUUAUUAUGGAGUAAUUUUUAGUUGUUUUGUUAUUUUAUGAAUAAUAAUUAUUUUAUUGGGGUGAUAUGAGAAUAUUUUAACUUCUUAAUAAUUAACUUUGAUUGAUGGAUAUAUAAUCCUGUAUUAUGGAAUUAAGAUUAAGAUACCUUAGGGAUAACAGCGUAAUUUUGUUGGAGAGUUCUUAUCGAUAAUGAAGAUUGCGACCUCGAUGUUGGAUUAAGGAUAUAUGUUGGUGUAGUCGCUAAUAAUAUUGGUCUGUUC